rnacentral:tRNA from 1 species
GGCUUUAUAUUCAUAAAAUGAUUAUAGAAUGCAAUUCUAUAGGAGUAGUAGAGACUACUAAGGCUU